rnacentral:rRNA from 1 species
GAUCGGCCACAUUGGAACUGAGACACGGUCCAAACUCCUACGGGAGGCAGCAGUGGGGAAUAUUGCACAAUGGGCGAAAGCCUGAUGCAGCAACGCCGCGUGAGUGAUGAAGGCCUUCGGGUCGUAAAACUCUGUCCUCAAGGAAGAUAAUGACGGUACUUGAGGAGGAAGCCCCGGCUAACUACGUGCCAGCAGCCGCGGUAAUACGUAGGGGGCUAGCGUUAUCCG